CCUACGGGGCGCAGCAGUGGGGAAUAUUGGGCAAUGGGCGCAAGCCUGACCCAGCAACGCCGCGUGAAGGAAGAAGGCCCUUGGGUUGUAAACUUCUUUUAUCAGGGACGAAGAAGUGACGGUACCUGAUGAAUAAGCCACGGCUAACUACGUGCCAGCAGCCGCGGUAAUACGUAGGUGGCAAGCGUUAUCCGGAUUUACUGGGUGUAAAGGGCGUGUAGGCGGGGAAUGAAGGCAGAUGUGA
rnacentral:rRNA from 1 species